rnacentral:sRNA from 1 species
GCUGGGUGUGGUAGUACACACCUGUAAUCCCAGCUACUAGGGAGAUGAGGCAGGAGGAUCAUAAAUUCAAGGCCAGCCUUGGCAAUUUGGUGAAAUCCUGUCUCAA